CCUACGGGUGGCAGCAGUGAGGAAUAUUGGUCAAUGGGCGCGAGCCUGAACCAGCCAAGUCGCGUGAGGGAAGACGGUCCUAUGGAUUGUAAACCUCUUUUGUCGGGGAGCAAAAGACGCCACGCGUGGCGUUCCGCGAGUACCCGAAGAAAAAGCAUCGACAAACUCCGCGCCAGCAGCCGCGGUAAUCCGGAGGAUGCGAGCGUUAUCCGGAUUUAGUGGGUUUAAAGGGUGCGCGGGCGGAAUAUCAAGUCAGCGGUAAAAUUGGGGGGCUAAACCUCUGCGUGCCGUUGAAACUGGGUUUCUUGAGUGGGCGAGAAGUAUGCGGAAUGCGUGGUGUAGCGGUGAAAUGCAUAGAUAUCACGCAGAACUCCGAUUGCGAAGGCAGCAUACCGGAGCUCAACUGACGCUCAUGCACGAAAGUGUGGGUAUCGAACAGGAUUAGAUACCCCUGUAGUC
rnacentral:rRNA from 1 species